rnacentral:rRNA from 1 species
GACGAACGCUGGCGGCGUGCCUAACACAUGCAAGUCGUGCGAGAAAGCCCCUUCGGGGGGUGAGUAAAGUGGCAGACGGGUGAGUAACGCGUAGAAAUCUACCUAGUAGUGGGGGAUAGCCCAGAGAAAUUUGGAUUAAUACCGCAUACGCCCUACGGGGGAAAGCGGGGGAUCUUCGGACCUCGUGCUAUUAGAUGAGUCUGCGUCGGAUUAGCUUGUUGGUGAGGUAAUGGCUCACCAAGGCGACGAUCCGUAGCUGGUCUGAGAGGAUGAUCAGCCACACUGGGACUGAGACACGGCCCAGACUCCUACGGGAGGCAGCAGUGGGGAAUAUUGGACAAUGGGCGCAAGCCUGAUCCAGCCAUGCCGCGUGGGUGAAGAAGGCCCUAGGGUUGUAAAUCCCUUUCAGCGGGGAAGAUAAUGACGGUACCCGCAGAAGAAGCCCCGGCUAACUCCGUG